GCUUCCAAGAACAGCCUAUCAUUCAACUUCAAGAGAUGCUGUAAUUAUCAAUCUGCUUCAACAAAGAUUGCUUCAAAUUGUUAAUGGCGGGGAAUUUAACAACUCUGACAAUGGAGUUGCUGCUGUGCAAGAAGACUUCAAAUGGAAUGGCUUUAACAAAUUCUGCUGAUCAGUGACUAACUCUUUCAUCAAUGUACUUCAAAAUAAUUUGUAUCAGUAUGGAAAGGAAAAGUAUUUCAUUUCUUACAAUACCAGAAUGUAAUUAAAUGCCCAGCCGAAACCCUAAUCAUAUUUCCUAUCAUUUUGUUUUCAAAU
rnacentral:misc_RNA from 1 species